rnacentral:misc_RNA from 1 species
GAUGAAGAACGUAGCGAAAUGCGAUAAGUAGUGUGAAUUGCAGAAUUCAGUGAAUCAUCGAAUCUUUGAACGCACAUUGCGCCCCUUGGUAUUCCAUGGGGCAUGCCUGUUCGAGCGUCAUUUGUACCUUCAAGCUCUGCUUGGUGUUGGGUGAUUGUCUCGCCUCUGCGUGUAGACUCGCCUCAAAACAAUUGGCAGCCGGCGUAUUGAUUUCGGAGCGCAGUACAUCUCGCGCUUUGCACUCAUAACGACGACGUCCAAAAGUACAUUUUUACACUCUUGACCUCGGAUCAGGUAGGGAUACCCGCUGAACUUAAGCAUAUCAAUAAGCGGAGGA